CCCUGGUUAGCUCAAGCGCUCCACUGGAAAUGGAGAGGUCCCGGGUUCGACACCCGGACCAGGCG
rfam:Ixodes scapularis strain Wikel colony gcontig_1107728656322, whole genome shotgun sequence.